rnacentral:lncRNA from 1 species
AUUGCAGCCUUGACCUCCUGUGCUCAAGCAAUCCUCCUGCCUCAGCCUCCAGAGUAGCUGAGACUACAAGCACCCACCACCGCGCCUGGAUAAUUUUUAAACUUUUUAGAGAUGGUAUCUCACUGUGUUACCCAGGCUGGCCUCAAACCCCUGGCUCCAAGCAAUCUUCCUGCCUCAGCCUCCCAAAGUGCUGGGAUUACAGGUAUGAGCCACCAUGCUUCGCCUUGUGAGCUAAUUUGCAAGAAUGGAACAAUGAAGACUCCUAGACCUACUCACCUGCCUUAAAGAUAUGCUAUUGUCCCCCAGAGAGGUGGCAAAAUGGUUUGUAUUUUUGUCUUAAGCCUUGGACUUUUAAAAUCCUGGAUUUUGAUGUGUGUGCAGAAGAGAACUAAGAUAGCGUGCUUGAGACCGCUCUCCUUUAAAAGGCCUGCUUGCAAGAGUAGCCUCUGACUGGCAUCUGGGAACUUGGAUCUUGAGAGAGUUGCCACCAUUCUCUAACUUUGCUGUGCUGCUUUGCUGUGCCUGAACUGUUUGCACACAAAAUGGGGUUUAUGCAGAACACCUGCUUGCCCUCUGGAGGUCUGGAAUUUUGUUUCAUGCUAGAUAGAGAAUGCUAUGUGACCAGAUCUCCAUAAAAACCCCAGGCACUGAGUCUCUAAUGAGCUUCCCUGGUAGACGACACUUCGACUGUGCUGCUACAACACGUUGCAGGAGGAAUUGCUCCCAUGAGACUGCCCUGGGAAGGAACCCUUGGAAACUGGCACCUUCUUGCCUGGGACUUUGUCCAAUGCACCUUUCCCUUUGCUGAUUUUAUUUUGUGUCCUUUUGCUGUAAUAAGUCAUAGUUGUGAUACAAAGAGUAUGCUAAGUCCUGUGAGUCCCAGUGAAUCACUGAACAGGAGGUAGGGGUGGUGUUAUGGACCCUUGACACAGUGUGAAAGCUCCAGAUGUUUUAUGUUGAUUCAAAAUGAAAACUUCUGAAGCUCACAUGAAUCGUGUCUGUAGGCCAGACAUGGCCUACGAGCAGGCACUUUGGGGCUUCAGAGUGAGCUCGAGCCCCUCACUGGACAGGGAUCAAGUGAGGCCUAAGGUGGGACUUGCCCCCUCCCAGGUGCCCAAGCUGGAAAGAGGGUCUGGGCUUCCCAGGCCAGAGCUGCUUUCAGGAGAAUGUACCUGGUGGAAGAAGUGGUGGAAGGAAGGAAAUCAUGUCUUGGUUUCUGAUGGGAGAAGGUUUUCAAUCUAUGUUGUGUGAAAAAGCAGUUGGUACAGAGACUCUGUACCCAUAACAUGAUUUUAUUUCAUAGAUAGGAUCUCUAUAUCUCAGCCUUAGAAACAGGGAAAUUCUGACGCAUGCUACAACCUGGACGAAGCUUGAGGACAUGAUGCUGAGUGAAAUAAGGCAGUCACAAAAGACAAAUGCUGCAGAAUUCCACUUCUAUGUGGUCCCUAGAGUUGUCAAAUCCAUAGAGGCAGAAUGGAGGUUGCUAGGGGAUGGGGAGGGGGAAUGAGGAGUGAGUGCUUGAUAGGACAGAGUUUCAGUUUAGAAGAUGAAAGCGUUCUGGAGAUGGACGGUGGUGAUGGCUGCAAACAAUAUACACCUAAAAAUGGUUUAAAUGGUAACUUUUAUGUUAUAUAUAUUUUACCACAGUUAAAACAUAGCAAGAUAAAAUAGGAUGUCUCUCUGUUCACAUCGCUAUGGUCCUGGGAAGACACAGACCAAGGUGCUCAUGGUCAUCAUCUGUGGAUGGAGGGAUUGUGGGGGAGAGUUUUCUUUUUGUUUAUUUGGUUUUAGAGAUGGGGGGCUUGCUAUGCUGGCCAGGUUGGUCUUGAACUUCCGGCCUCAAAUGAUCCUCCUGCUUCAACCUCUCAAAGUGCUGGGAUUACAGGUGUGAACCACCGUGCCCAGCCUGGGAGAUAGUUUUCUUUCUGCUUUUCUAUUUUCCAUAUUUUUUUUUUUGGCAUGCAAUAUAUAUUAUGUUUUAAUGUUGAAAAAAAAAUUUUUUUUUUUUUGAGAUGGAGUCUAGCUCUGUUGCUCAGGCUGGACUACGGUGGCACAAUCUCGGCUCACUGCAACCUCUGCUUCCUGGGUUGAAGCAAUUCUCCUGCCUCAGCCUCCCGAGUAGCUGGGAUUACAGACGCACGCCACCAUGACCGGCUAAUUUUUUGUAUUUUUAGUAGAGACAGGGUUUCACCAUGUUGGCCAGGCUGGUCUUGAACUCCUGACCUCAAGUGAUCCACCCACCUUGGCCUCCCAAAGUGCUGGGAUUACAGGCAUGAGCCACCGCGCCCGGCCUGAAAAAAUUUAAAUACAGAAAAGCACGGAGAAUAACAAAACAUUUAUGUAUGUACUAAAUUUGCAGUUUGGAAAAAAUUUAUUAACAAUAAAUAGUAUGAGAAAAAAAAUCAAUGUCGUCAACCAGAAACAUUGGGGAAAAAAAAGACAACCUAAUUGUUUUGCAGAAACACCUCCAGCCACACUCCAGUUGGAAAAUAUCAUAGAAUUGGGCCUGGGCCUCUUCCCAGGUACCUGUUUCUGGCCAGGCAGCGGCCACCUCAGUCACAUCAGGAGAACUGCAUGGAUUCCCGAUCCACCAGGACCUCUGAAUCUGAAUUCCUGGGGAGGCCCAGAUGCUGUCCUUUGCAAACUCUAGGUCGUUCCGCUGUUUUGCGGGGCUUGUGAACCACCUCCUGGGGUUCUGAGAAACUGAGUUUGACACGCCUUUCUCUACCCGAUGGUGGCUCUGUUCUGUGCUCCUUGGUCUAGCGUGGGUCAUGGUCUGCGCCUCAAGGUCUGAGUGUGAACCAGGUCCCAAGACUCUGCCUAUGGCUGCACCCCAGGAGAUGGAGCUGGGGGGCGACAUGGAAAAGAGGGGGAUGGGUGUGACUUGCUAGGAGAAUCCCAAGUGACCAUCACCUCCAACAGUGCAGCGGAAAGCUGGGUUGCAGGUGGAAGGGAAGUGCCUUCACCUGUUGUGCUUAUUAUCCCUGUGCUUUUGAGGGAGAGAGUGUGGCUCAGGCCGGCUGAGUGACUUGUGCAAGGUCACCCAGCUAGUCGUGUGUGCAGGACUGUGACCUGAGGGCGUCCCUUAGGGGCUGCAGUCUCCUCUUGGCCAUCUGGAAGGGUGUGCUCGGGGUUCUAGGGGGCAGAUGGGGCAGGGUCCCUGCAGCCCUGUCUCUGAGAUGAUGGACUGUGCACGUGGCCACCCCCACAGCCCCGGAGCCUCCCUUGAACUCUUCUCUGCACCCUGCUGAAGAAGCAUCUCCUGGGGACGGUGGCAGCCAGGGGAGUGGCAGAGGAAGAGAGGACGGGUAGGCCCCAUCUCCCUGUCCCAGGUCUGGAAAUGACGCCCGCGCCCCAAGCCCUUCUCUCCUGCCCAGCUUCGUCUGUGUCGUCUGUGUCGUAGAAAGGCCUGCUCAGAAUUCACAGCGGCUCAGGGGCUCAUGAAUUAUGUACGGCUCCAGAUCAAUCCGUCAGCGCUCUGUCAGGGAGGAAUCAAAGGCCCCGCGGCCGGCAGACAGCUCUUUCUGCGUGGGGCCGCCGCGGAGAGCCCGGCGCCGGCGAGUUGGUGGAGCCCCGUGGGCGCUCGGCUCCCCGUCCCUUCCGAAUGCCCCGUCUCUCUGUUUCUCUGCCAGACGCAGAUUUGACAAAUGUCUUUAAAGGCGGGGUGGGGGUAACAACAAAAAGCCCUGGCCCGUGUGUUUUGAGCGCGUUCCAAGGUGCUCGGCGUGAAUAAUUGAUGCCAGCGCCACUUUUGUCAUGGGAAGGUCACCCUGGGUGCGGUACAGUCUCCGCCACCACAACAGCACAAGCUUCCUGCAGCACUGAUGAGACGGCCCCUCCUCGGCCAGGCCACCAUUCUGGGGCUGGGCAAGCUGGCCAUGAAGGGAUGGCGACCUUGCUCCUGAGAAGGGGCGUCCUGCUCUGCUCUGUCCGGGCCUCCAGGCCCAGAAGCGAGGGUUGAGGGGGGAGCCGCGGGGAGCCGCAGGGAGCAGCCUGUGGCUCCUGGGCACCGCUGCCUUCUGGGAGGAGCUGGAGGUGGUUGAGAUGCUUGGGCUGGCUGUGCACCAGCGUCCCGGAGCUGCUGUGACAGAUGAGUGCGAGCUGGGCUGCUGAACACAGGGUCAUCCCACAGCUCUGCGACCGGAGGGCUGGAGUUAAGGCGCCCGUGGCGAUGGCUCCUACUGGAGCUUAGAGGGAGACUCUGCUGGCCUCUGUCCCGGUGUCUGCUGCCUGUGGGCUCUCCUCGCUGUUCUUUGAUCCUGUCCCUGUCUCUGCCCUCAGGUGGCCUCUUCCUCUGUGUCUCUGUAUCCUCUCCUCUUCUUAUGAGGACACCUGUCAUUGUCAUCCCAGCCCAGUCCAGGAUGAUUGCAUCUGAAGAUACUCAUCUUAAUGACAUCUUUGAAGACCUUCAUUUCAAAUAAGGACAAUUCUGAGGGUCUGGGUGGACCUAUCUUUUGGGGGCCACCAUCUAACCCACUACGGCGGGAGACGCAGCAGCACGGGCCACAAUAGGGACAGGGCCACCCAGGCCUGAUGGCCGCUGCGACCUUCUCAUCUCAGGGCACGGCUGGGCCCACACCCCGACCCAGGACAGAGGCAGGCACCCCCGAAAGAACGCCCCCCAGAACUGCUCCUGCCUGGCUUCCGAUGGCACCAGGGUCCCCACCUCCCCCUCAGCUGCUCUGAGUUGGAGAGGAGGUUGUGGUGCCCCUUUAGCAGAUGGGCAAAGUGAAACCCAGACAGGGAGGUGAUUUUCUCCGGGUUCCAGGGAGGGGCUGGCGGGGCAAAGAUCAGCGGCCACGUGACUCAGGUAGGUGCACGUCCUCCUGCGCCAGGCUGCCAAGCUGUGCUUGGGCCCCUCUGUGCUCCCCCGGUCUGUAGGGCAUUAUCUGCUUCUAGCUGGCCCCUCCCACCCCAGCCUCAUCUCUCCCCACCCACACUCUCCAGGCCAGCCUCACCGGCAUGCCAAUCCACGGGUCUCAAUCCUGCUGCACAUUUGGGUCCCCAACUUUGGACAUUCAGGUCUCAUUUGAGUGAGGUGGGAGCAGGUGUGAACUGUUAGACUCUCUCUAAGUGAUUUUAAUGCGCUCCUACGGACCCCACACUCCUUCUGGCACAGGCUCUUCUCUCUGUCUGAGAUCUACUGGUUUUGGUCCUGACAUCUGCUCGGUGGUCACUUUCCCAGGGAGGCUGCCCCAAUCUCCCUGACAGGGCCUUGACUACCUGUUUAAUGCAGCAUAUCUUACUCUCGCUGGAUACAGCCCAGCUGGAACGUUCAUUUCUGUAUGUAAUUCUUCGUUUUGUGUCAUCCUCUUUGUAUCAGGUAGAAUGCCUUAGGCUGUAAUAGAAUAUCCGGGGAAAAGUGGCUUUAAUAAUAGGAGCUUAUUUUUCUCACAUAAUAAGAGGUUUGGGCCAGGCACGGCGGCCCUGUAAUCUCAGCACUUUGGGAGGCCGAGGCAAGAGGAUCACUGAGGUCAGGAGUGUGAGACCAGCCUGGCCAACAUGGUGAAAUCCCAUCUCUACUAAAAAUAUUUUAAAAAUUAGCUGGAUAUGGUGGUAGGCACCUGUAGUCCCAGUUACUCAGGAGGCUGAGGCAGGAGAAUAACUUGAACCCUGGGAGGUGGAGGUUGCAGUGAGCCCAGUAAGUGCCACUGCGCUCCAGCCUGGGCAACUGAGCAAGACUCUGUCUCAAAAAAAAAAAAAGAGAAAAAAAGAAAAGAGACUUGAUUCAGCAGCUCAGUAACAGCAGCAAGGAGCUAGCAUUUUACUACGCUCAACUUCACCAGCAUAAUGGCAAGGCCUCAACUCAUGGUGACAACAUGGCUGCCACAGCUCCAAGCAUCACAUCACACAAUAAUAAGGUCUACAAGGAAGGAGGGGAAAAUGCUACUCCCAACUCUUCUUGUUGGAGAUGCAAAGCUUUCCCAGAUCCCCCCAGCAGACCUCAGGUCCUAAUGGAUAGAGCUGGGCCACCUGCCCAUGCCCACAUGCAAAGAAGUCUGAGGAGGCAGGUAUUUCCCAACUUUAUCUUCUAUUUGGGAGCAGUGCUCUGAUAACAAGGAACUCAGGGAGGGUCGUGUCUCAUGGGUGGGUCACCCAAAGCGUCUCAGUCUCCCUGACUAUGGUGUAAACUUCAUGAGGGGAGGAACUAGGUCUAAAUUUGCUCCCAUAUAACCCCAGUGCCUGGCAAGUACCUGGUGCUCACCAGAUGUGGGCUGAAUUAGUUCCCUGGCACACAGCUGAUUCUCCAAUCAGCCUUGAGCUCCUUUAGAGCAGGGGCUCCUCUGCUCAUGUUCGUAGCACCCCCACCUCCCCCAUCCCUCCCUACACACAACAGGGGGCUAUAGCUGCAGUCCUGCUGCAAGCGGGGUGCUAAGAGAGGGCACAAGAAAGUGCCCACUCCGAUGGACUCCUUAAGCUUCUGUGGUUCUGACACGAGCAAGUCUCCCCUCUAGGAUAAGUCAGGGUUUUUCUGCCAGCAGCCAAAAGUAACUCUGGCUAAUUUCGGGAAGGAUAAAGAAGGAUUUAUGGAAGGAAUGAGGCUCACUUAAUCAAAAGCAAAGGUGAACACUUCACAUCCAUUAGGAUGGCUCUUAUGAAAACAAAACAGAAAAACACAAGUGCUGAUGGGGAUCUGAGGAAAUGGAAAGCCUCGUGCACCGUUGGUGGGAAUGCAAAACGAAGCAGGCAUGGUGGAAACCAGCAUGGAGGUUCCUCAGAAAUGAAACAAGGAAUGAUCACGUGAUCCAGCAAUUCCAUUUCUGGGUGUACACUCAAGAGAACUGAAAACAGAAAUUCAAAAAGAUAUUUGUACACCCAUGUUCACAGCAGCAUUCUUCAUAAUAGCUAAGACGUGGAAGCAGCCAAGUGCCCAUUGCUGGGUGAAUGGUAGAUGAGGUGUGUUCCAUCCAUACCACAGAAUAUGACUCAGCCUUAAAAAGGAAGGUGAUUCUGACACAGGCUACAACACGGCGGAACCUCGAGGCCAUUAUAGUCAGUGAAAUCAGCCAGUCACAAAAGGGCAAAUACUGGCAGAUUCACUUCUACAAAGUACCUGGAAAAGUCAAGUCCAUAGAGACAGAAAGUCCAAUGGAGGCUGCCGGGGGCUGGGGGAGGGGGAAGGGGAGUGAGUGUUUCAUGGGGACAGAGCUGCAUUUGGGACGAUGAAGGAGUUCUGGAGAUGGAUGGGUGAUGGCUGCACAAUGCAAAUGUGCUUAAUGCCACUGACUUGCACACUUAGACAUGGCUAAAAUGAUGAAUUUUAUGUUAUGCCUGUUUUACCACAGUCAAAAAUUAAAUUAAAAAACAAAAAGCACAGUGAAGAAUGCGGGGGUGGAAGGGCAGGUGGGGCAGCACGGCAGCCUGGGGAGCAGGAGCGGGGCCAGGUUCUUCCAGGCUCCUCUGCUUGGAGCAACGCUCCAGCUCUGGCUCAGUGUCUGCCCAGGACACUCAGCCCAGGAGCUGGCAUUCUAGGGCAGGGGUCCAGCCAGCAUGAUGUGGGGCAGGGGGAGGACAAACGGCGCUUCAGGGACGUUCACAAGGCCCUGCACAAGUCACCUGGGAACUGGGGGACGGCUGCGUGGUCCCGACCUCUUCUGUCCGCUGUAAGGGAACUAAGAUGCCUCCUCCCCUCUGCACACCGCAGGGUGGUGAGUGGGGAUCUGGAGUUGCAACCUGACGGACUCAAUCUCAUGUGACAGCGUGAACCACUAACAUGGAGGCCGUGGCCGCAGUGCAGUGGGGAGGGGUCUGCUGGGUGUGGCUGCCCAGGCGCCUCUGGGACUGAGCACUACUGGUCUAGUGGUGUAAGGAGGUGGAUCUGGGGAUGGGGGCGCUUGGCCAGGCUGCCCCGGCUGGAGAUCCCACUGACAGCCUGAAGGGUGGAAGACUUGGAAAGUCCUCUGAGAAGCUCGCCUAACGGCGAUGCUCCACUCGAUUCCAAGAUUGCUUCCGUUUUGCUGGGAAGAGGUUGAUCAUUAAAUUUUAUGCGCUGCUUUUGAUGUCUGCUCCGAGGAUGUCGGUUUCAGCAUUCCGGCUCCUCCAAGGGAGGCCUCGGCAAAGUUGGCUUCCAGACGUUGGUUCCCGCCAGCAAAACCAUCCAUCAUCGCGUGCGAAUGGCUGGCCUCCUAAAAGCCAUGUUAUGAGAAGAUGCCAAUAAGUGUACUUACAUUCGCCGUGCCCAUCAGGGCAGCCUUGCAGAGGCAUCUGCUGAAUCUGGACUUUCACUCAACAGCCCGGUCUGCUCCUCCGUCCCUCCUCAUCGAUUGCAGGUUGAGUCCAUCUUUGGUAACCAAUCACCCAGGGGUUGGUAGGCAUUUUUUUUUUUUUAAUUUUCUGUAUGAGGUUUAAUUAAACCAAGGUGUGCCUGACCCUGUCAAAUCAUAUAAAAAAAAGGCCUCUUUGCUGUAUGAGGAAAAACAUCAGCAUAAAUUAUUGAUUAAUCCUCAUUCAAACUAAUCUAUCAAUGACUUUCUCUGGCUUGGUGGACCUGGGGAGCUCUUAGAUGUUUCCAUGCAAACGGCAUCUGAAAGCUCCAUUUCAAAGUGAUCUGAGGCCCAUUUAAAGCAGUCAGCAGCCAGUGGGAGCUGCCCCUGAAAUUCUGAAGUGCGACCGUUCACUCUGGCCUCAGUUCAAUGGUGCCUAGAUGUGUCCUGUCUGGGCAGUGAGUUCCAUCUGGUCCCUACGCCUGGGGGUGGGGAGUUCACAGUUCAGUGGGGGGCAGAGGAGAUGACAAAGACAGACACAUACAAAAGACAUGCUGAUAUACUUUGGUGAGGGCUAGAUACUGUAUGAUACAGGCAUACUAUGCACUGUAUGAUACAGGCAUACAGUGCGUAAACCUCUAAUCAUACAGAAACCUCUUGUAAUCAUACAGAGGUCUAAUGUUUAAACAGAAUGGACGAAGAGAGCAGAGCAGCUUAUGUGGAUACAUUUGAGAAUUAAAGGAAAUAGGCAAAGUAUUUUAAAAACACAACUUACCAAAGCUGUCACAAGAAAAAAAAAACAUAUCCAUUAAGGAAAUUGAGCCCCAAAUUAGGAACGAUCGGGCAAAGAAAACUCCAGGCCUAGAUGACUUCCCUGGUGAAUUCCACCAAACACUGAAGGAAGAAAGGAUCCCAGUCUUACAUCAAAUCUCCCAGAGAAGACAGAAAGCAGGAACACUGUCUAACUCAUGUUAUGAGUCUAGCAAAACUUUAAUGCUAAAUUCUGAUGAAGACAUUACAACAAAGAAACAUCAUGGGUCAACUCUUCCCAUGAAAAUGGAUGUGAAAAUCCUUAAAAAAUAUUAGCAAGUCAAAUAAAACAAUAUCACAACCAAGUGGGAUUUAUUUCAAAAUGCAAGGUUGGCUUAACAGUCAAAAAUCAAUCACAUGGCCGGGCAUAGUGGCUCAUGCCUGUAAUCCCAGCACUUUGGGAGGCUGAGGCGGGAGGAUCACUAGAGGUCAGGAGUUUGAGACCAGCCUGGCCAACAUGGUGAAACCCCGUCUCUACUAUACAAAAAAAUUAGCUGGGUGUGGUGGUAGAUGCCUGUAAUCCCAGCUACUUGGGAGGCUGAGGCAGGAGAAUCGCUGGAACCUGGGAGGCGGAGGUUGUAGUGACCCAAGAUCGCACCACUGCACUUCAGCCUGGGUGACAGAAUGAGACUUUGUCUCAAAAAAGAAAAAAAAAAAAAUCACAGACCAGGGUCAGAGGCUCACGCCUAUAAUCCUAACACUUUGGGAGGCCGAGGUGGGAGGAUUGCUUGAACCCUCCAGGUUGGAGAGCAGCCUGGGAAACAUAGUGAGACCCUGCCUUUACUAAAAAUAAAAAAAAACUUAGCUGGACAUGGUGGUGCACACCCAUAGUCCUAGUUACUUGGGAGGCUGAGGCAGGAGAAUCACUUGAGCCCAGGAGUUUGAGGCUGCAGUAAGCUGUGUUUAUGCCACUGCACUCUAGUCUGGGUGAUAGUGAGACCUUGUCUCAAUAAAAAAAUAAAAAACAAAAAACAUAAUAAAAAGAAAAAUUGGCUAGGUGCAGUGGUUCACUCCUGUAACCCCAGAACUUUGGGAGGCUGAAGUGGGAGGAUCAGUUGAGGCCAGGAGUUUAAGGCCAGUUUGGGCAACAUAGUGAGAUCUUGUCUCUAUAUAAAAAAUUUAAAAAAAGAAAAAUCAUAUGAUCAUCUUUAUCGAUGCAGAAAAAUUAUUUGAUGGCGUAGGCAUUUAUUUAAAAAGAUGUAGGCCGGGCGCAGUGGCUCACGCCUGUAAUCCCAACAGUUUGGGAGGCCGAGGCGGGCGGAUCACCUGAGGUCAGGAGUUUAAGACCAGCCUGGCCAACAUGGUGAAACCCCAUCUCUACUAAAAAUACAAAAAUUAGCCGAGCGUGGUGGAGGAUGCCUGUAAUCCCAGUUACUCUGGAGGCUGAGGCAGGAGAAUUGCUUGAACCCAGGAGGUGGAGGUUGCAGUGAGCCAAGAUUGUGCCACUGCACUCCAGCCUGGGCGACAGAGUAAGACUGUGUCCCAACCCCCCCAAAAAAGAUGUAAACAUAUGCUUAUUGACAUUAAAAGAAGCUCAUGAUAUGCCAGCAAGUAAAAGAGCCAGUCAGAAGAUGGCAUAUAAUAUCAUCCCAUUUUCUUGUAAUAAAAAAAAUCUGUAUCUGUCUCUGAAAGGGUUUACCUCAAAAUAGUAAUUGUGCUUAUUAUCUCUGGGUGCUGAAAAAUUUUUAUUUCUUCUUUGUAUUAUUCUUUAUUUCUUGCUUUUUAAAAUAGUGAACAUGUAUUAUUGAUGUAAUAGUUUUUUAAAAACAACUUAUUAAAAGAAGAACGUUAUAGCCCAUUUUUCUGCCCUGGAAAUUCACUAGAGAAAAGCACGAAGAGAAAUUCCAACAACUGACAGGGCUCUUAUUUGUAGGCCACGGAAAUAGUUUCCAGCUGAUUUAAGCAGAAAAUGAAUUCAUUCCAAGGGCACUGGGACUCCCAGAACCUCUGGAGGCCAGAGGACCCAGCUCGGAGCCCGUGAGGCUGGGAGGGAAGAAUGGGCUCCAGCGGAAGUGGUUGGUGAAGACACCACUGCCAUCGCUGCCCGGCCUGAGCUGUGUGGGGGUUUCUCCCCUCCGCUGCCACCAGGCAGCACCACCCCUCGGGCACCGCCAUGUGCCUUGGUGUCCAGGGUCGCCACCCAUCCCAGAACGGUUCCCCUCGGUCCCUGGUUCCCAGCACGUGCCUUGGUGGAGGCGGGGGCAGCGGCUGCCAAUGGCCGUCUGGGAUACAUGUGCACAUUGGCCACGUUUGGCUGUGACAGCAGAAGGCGGGCUCUGCCUCAGAAGGAGAGGUCUCCGCAGGCCCGGAAGUAGGUUCAGGAGCUGAAUGACCAAACCACAGGACACCCUUGGCCCUUCUGCACUAAGACUAGCGUUGGCGAACUACAGCUUAUGGGCCUGAUCCAGCCCGCUGCCUGCUUUCUGUACAGCCCACAAGCUAACAAUGGGUUUUACAUUUGAUAACAAUCAAACGAAGAAUGGUAUGUCUUGAAAUGUGAAAAUUUUAUGUAAUUAACAUUUCAGUGUCUAUAAAGUUUUAUUGGCACAUAGCCCCAUUCACUGUGUAUCUAUUGUCUAUGGUUGCUUUUGCACCAUGAAGGCAGAGUUGAGCGAUUGUGAGAGAGACCUGCAAAGCCACAAAUCCUGACCAGUGGGCUCCCUGCAGAAAGUCUGUGGACCCAUGACUGAGAGUGAUGAUUCUCUCUAGCUGUGUCUGCACUCUGUUGGUUGCUCUUGGUUCAUAAGGACCCGGGAUAUCUUGUGAGUCUCCUGCUCAGGAUGAGACUAAAGGGUGGUAGAAUAUGCCACCCUCAAAUAUGCCUCUUUGACAUAAGGGUUAUUUUGAGCUAAAGGCACUUAAAGAAAUAGCAGGUGCAUCGGGCGCAGUGGCUCACACCUGUAAUCCCAGGGGGUGGGAGGCUGAGGUGGGCAGAUUGCUUGAGGUCAGAAGUUCGAGACCAGCCUGGCCAAUACGGUGAAACCCCCUCUCUACUAAAAAUACAAAAAUUAGCUGGGUGUGGUGGUGUGCACCUGUAAUCCCAGCUACGCAGCAGACUGAGGCAGGAGAAUCACUUGAACCCGGGAGACAGUGGUUGCAGUGAGCUGAGAUCGCACCACUGCACUCCAGCCUGGGUGACAGAGCAAGACUAC